AAAUAUUUUUCGGUUGUAAGACAAUAUAACGUAAUAUAUCGCUUUGUUAUCCCGAAAUCAGCAUUCAACACUCUCGCGUUCUUGUUUCUCGGGGCCGUUACAAUCAAAAUGACCAUUUUAUUUAUAAACGUGUGUGUUAUAUAGGCAUUGAGUAUAGGUAUAUACGGCGGCGCAAUUGUCGCACAGAUUCGGGACUGGGGACAUAGGACCUACACCUAUAUUAUUAUAGUAAAUCCGAAAACCGUAA